AGCAGCCGCGGUAAUUCCAGCUCCAAUAGCGUAUAUUAAAGUUGUUGCAGUUAAAAGCUCGUAAUUGAAUUUCGGGAUCAAUUAAUUGGUCGUGCCUCUGGUACGUACUGGUUUUAUUUGGUUUCUCCCUUCUGACGAACCAUGAUGUCAUUAAUUUGGUGUCGUGGAGAAUCAGGACUGUUACUUUGAAAAAAUUAGAGUGUUUAAAGCAAGCUAACGCUUGAAUACAUUAGCAUGGAAUAAUGAAAUAGGACGUUUGAUCCUAUUUUGUUGGUUUCUAGGAUCGACGUAAUGAUUAAUAGGGAUAGUUGGGGGCAUUAGUAUUCAAUUGUCAGAGGUGAAAUUCUUGGAUUUAUUGAAGACUAACUACUGCGAAAGCAUUUGCCAAGGAUGUUUUCAUUAAUCAAGAACGAAAGUUAGGGAUCGAAGACGAUUAGAUACCGUCGUAGU
rnacentral:rRNA from 1 species